AAUAAAGUGCCUGAUUAAAGGGUUAUCUUGAUAGGAUAAAUUAAGUAAUUUAAUUACCUUUAUUA
rnacentral:tRNA from 1 species